GACGAACGCUGGCGGCGUGCUUAACACAUGCAAGUCGAACGGAAAGGCCUCUUUCGGGGGGUACUCGAGUGGCGAACGGGUGAGUAACACGUGAGUAACCUGCCCUUGACUUUGGGAUAACUUCAGGAAACUGGGGCUAAUACCGGAUAGGAGCUCCUGCUGCAUGGUGGGGGUUGGAAAGUUUCGGCGGUUGGGGAUGGACUCGCGGCUUAUCAGCUUGUUGGUGGGGUAGUGGCUUACCAAGGCUUUGACGGGUAGCCGGCCUGAGAGGGUGACCGGCCACAUUGGGACUGAGAUACGGCCCAGACUCCUACGUGAGGCAGCAGUGGGGAAUAUUGCACAAUGGGUGGAAGCCUGAUGCAGCAACGCCGUGUGCGGAAGGACGGCCUUCGGGUUGUAAACCGCUUUCGCUCAUGACGAAGCUUUGUGUGACGGUAGUGGGUAAAGAAGCACCGGCUAACUACGUG
rnacentral:rRNA from 1 species